rnacentral:misc_RNA from 1 species
AAAUGCGAUAAGUAAUGUGAAUUGCAGAAUUCCGUGAAUCAUCGAAUCUUUGAACGCACAUUGCGCCCUCUGGCAUUCCGGGGGGCAUGCCUGUCCGAGCGUCAUUACGCACCCCCAAGCCCGGCUUGUGUGAUGGGCCCCGGCGUCUCGUUCGCGAGACGGGCCCGAAAGGCAGCGGCGGCGUCGACCCGAUGAGCCCGAGCGUAUGGGGACUUCUGUCACACGUUCGCGGUGCGGACCGGCGCCUGCUUUGACUUUUCUGAUUAUCCAGGUUGACCUCGGAUCAGGUAGGGAUACCCGCUGAACUUAAGC